UAGCAUAUCAAUAAGCGGAGGAAAAGAAACCAACAGGGAUUGCCCUAGUAACGGCGAGUGAAGCGGCAACAGCUCAAAUUUGAAAUCUGGCUCUUUUAGAGUCCGAGUUGUAAUUUGCAGAGGGCGCUUUGGCUUUGGCAGCGGUCCAAGUUCCUUGGAACAGGACGUCACAGAGGGUGAGAAUCCCGUACGUGGUCGCUGGCUAUUGCCGUGUAAAGCCCCUUCGACGAGUCGAGUUGUUUGGGAAUGCAGCUCUAAAUGGGAGGUACAUUUCUUCUAAAGCUAAAUAUUGGCCAGAGACCGAUAGCGCACAAGUAGAGUGAUCGAAAGAUGAAAAGCACUUUGGAAAGAGAGUCAAACAGCACGUGAAAUUGUUGAAAGGGAAGCGCUUGCAGCCAGACUUGCUUACAGUUGCUCAUCCGGGUUUCUACCCGGUGCACUCUUCUGUAGGCAGGCCAGCAUCAGUUUGGGCGGUAGGAUAAAGGUCUCUGUCACGUACCUCCUUUCGGGGAGGCCUUAUAGGGGAGACGACAUACUACCAGCCUGGACUGAGGUCCGCGCAUCUGCUAGGAUGCUGGCGUAAUGGCUGUAAGCGGCCCGUCUUGAAACACGGACCAAGGAGUCUAACAUCUAUGCGAGUGUUUGGGUGUCAAGCCCGAGCGCGUAAUGAAAGUGAACGGAGGUGGGAACCCGCAAGGGUGCACCAUCGACCGAUCCUGAUGUCUUCGGAAGGAUUUGAGUAAGAGCAUGGCUGUUGGGACCCGAAAGAUGGUGAACUAUGCUUGAAUAGGGUGAAGCCAGAGGAAACUCUGGUGGAGGCUCGCAGCGGUUCUGACGUGCAAAUCGAUCGUCAAAUUUGGGCAUAGGGGCGAAAGACUAAUCGAACUAUCUAGUAGCUGGUUCCUGCCGA
rnacentral:rRNA from 1 species